rnacentral:rRNA from 1 species
GAUUAUGGCUCAGGAUGAACGCUAGCGGCAGGCUUAACACAUGCAAGUCGAGGGGCAGCGGGAUGUAGCAAUACAUUGCCGGCGACCGGCGGAUGGGUGCGUAACGCGUAUGCAACCUACCUUAUACAGGGGAAUAACCUUUCGAAAGGGAGACUAACACCCCAUGGUAUUGAUUUAAGGCAUCUUAGAUUAAUUAAAUAUUUAUAGGUAUAAGAUGGGCAUGCGUAUGAUUAGCUAGUUGGUAAGGUAACGGCUUACCAAGGCGACGAUCAUUAGGGGUUCUGAGAGGAAGGUCCCCCACACUGGUACUGAGACACGGACCAGACUCCUACGGGAGGCAGCAGUGAGGAAUAUUGGUCAAUGGACGCAAGCCUGAACCAGCCAUGCCGCGUGCAGGAAAGACGGCCUUAUGGGUUGUAAACUGCUUUUACAUAAGACUAACCGUAUAUUUGCGAAUAUACCUGAAUGUAUUAUGAGAAUAAGGAUCGGCUAACUCCGUGCCAGCCGCUGC